UCACGUUAUACGAGCGGCCGAUGUCGGAUUAGCUAGUUGGUGGGGUAAAGGCCUACCAAGGCGACGAUCCGUAGCGGGUCUGAGAGGAUGAUCCGCCACACUGGGACUGAGACACGGCCCAGACUCCUACGGGAGGCAGCAGUGGGGAAUUUUGGACAAUGGGCGCAAGCCUGAUCCAGCCAUGCCGCGUGAGUGAAGAAGGCCUUCGGGUUGUAAAGCUCUUUCAGGUGGAAAGAAAUCGCACUUUUUAACACAAGGUGUGGGAUGACGGUACCAUCAGAAGAAGCACCGGCUAACUACGUGCCAGCAGCCGCGGUAAUACGUAGGGUGCGAGCGUUAAUCGGAAUUACUGGGCGUAAAGCGUGCGCAGGCGGUUAUGUAAGACAGAUGUGAAAUCCCCGGGCUCAACCUGGGAACUGCGUUUGUGACUGCAUAACUAGAGUACGGCAGAGGGAGGUGGAAUUCCGCGUGUAGCAGUGAAAUGCGUAGAGAUGCGG
rnacentral:rRNA from 1 species